CGGGCCUGGCUUGAAUCCAGGGCCCACCCCUGGCUCAGUCAGCCAAGGCCAGGAGAGUGGUGAAAGGCUGCAGAAAGAAUUCCUGAAGGCGGCUUCAUGGAUCAGGAACAUCUCAGGAGUAUACUGAGCCCAAGAACACUGAAGUCGGAUUUGGGUCCAGUCAUCAUCUGGCCUCCGUAUUAGUCGUUGUGGAGAAGGAUGGUGGUACCUGCUCCAGUACAGUAGCCAAGGGAUGGAACAAAGUCGUGGGGGAGUCAAG
rnacentral:lncRNA from 10 species